GAAUUUAUUGGAUCACUUAGGAAAGGAUUAUGAUGUUGACGUACUCUCUUGGUCUAAUAGCCUUUUAUCACAAUUGGAAGAUCCAGUUGAUUCAACACUGGUGUUUAAUUUUGAAGCAGAACAGGAAAUUAAUCAUGGUUAUGAAGAAGAUGCUUUUGAUUUAGUUGAUUUGAAUGCCGACUGUGGAGAUGAUGGUACAAGCAGUGAUACUGAUAAAAAUGUUGAAGAGACGAUACAUGAGCAAGCUGAUGAGCAAGAGUUAGAUGAUUUGGGUUCAAGUAGAACUGAUCAAGGUAAUGUUACAUCUCUUGAUACCUCUACAACUGAUAUCAGUACUAAUGAUAGUGACAACAGUCAUGUUUUGCCUUGGAAAGGGUUUAAGCUUG